rnacentral:lncRNA from 1 species
GUGGAGUGAAAAAUGAAUAGUAAAGAUUAAUUUUAGGUUAAAUCAUUUUAUUAGUCUUUUUAUUUUUAUAGCAAAAUUGUAAAUUGGUUUCUUUAUUAAAUUUUUUUGGCUCAAUUUAGUUUUUUAUUUGAAAAUUUUAAUACAAUAUAAUCUUUUUCAUUAAAUUGACUAAACAACUUUAAAUAAAUAUUAAGUAGAUGUGUUUUUGUGGAGUUUUAAAAUGAUGUGACUUAAUUAUGAUCCUUUAAUUAAAUUAUUAAUAUUGUAUUUUAUUGUCACCCCCCACUACUCUCUUAAAGAGCUUCACCGGACCAGUACACUUUACCACACCCUUACACAAUGACAUUUCCCACCACUCUCUGGAAGGCUUCACCGGCAAGUACACCACUUCCCACCACUCUCUUAGAGCUUCCCCGAGCAAGUAUAUGUUUUCCACCAUCCUCUUUGGCUUCACAGGACAAGUAUACACUCCCCA